UAUAUGACCACCAUGUUCUGAAGGAUGCCCACAAAGCUGAGGGAAAGGGGAGCCCAUUCAAGUUAAGGAGACGCCAAUCAGGCGAAUGGGAUGGGGCUUGACAAGAUUCUCAGAACGUGGUUGAAGGGUCUGCAAGACCCUUGAGUCUUAUUGAUGAAAGAAUAAAAUCCAUGGGACCUUAACUGGAGGGCCCAAACGUCACUAUAUCCAUGAAAACCGAGCCUUCCACGGAUCUUGGAGAGAAGUGAUUCAGGUGAUAAUCGUGUGAAAUCAACGUGAAUGAUUUCCCUAACGGCUCUACUGUCCCCUGUGCAAAUCAUGGCUUUUCGUUUUUGUGCCACAUCUACCAAAUAUUUGGGGAUGGAGUGAGAGUCAAGUGGUGGCGGAGAGGAUGGGGGAAGAGCCUUUCUAAUAUCUCGGAAGAAGAAAAUACCUCAGAUUGCCAAUUGGAACCUCAUGGAACUGCUUCCAUCCAUCAGAGGUGGGAGCAGCUGGCAUUGAUAGUCAGAGAGCUCGCCAGCAAAGCACUACCAGCUGGACCGCCGCAGCCACCGUCAUCCCCACUUACUUUAUCACCUGGCUCUGGCGUUCAGAUCGAGCUUCGUGAGAGCGUCCUUGCAUGUCAUGCACGCCGACUCCCAAGCAUCCAGGACAACACCUAGCACCUAAUAGGCCCUCCAUCAAUCUUUGGUCACUGAAUGAAUGAAGAAUUGCUAACCUCCGUUCAUUUGUUGAAGGCUUGCUAUGCACCUGGCACCGUGCUAAGGCUGAAAGUGAUUCACUCAUUGCUGUAGCACCAACACCUGGAACAGCGUCUGGCACAGAGGAGGUGCCCAAUAG
rnacentral:lncRNA from 1 species